GAUAUACUUGAUGUAUAUUCAUGUGUAACUUUACAAUAGGGAUGCAUUCUGUCUAAAUUGUGUUAUCAGGCAGUUUGUUAUGAUGCAAAUAUCAAAAGAGUGUAAUUAGUCAAACUAAGUUAGCUACAAUAUCACUAGCUGAUAUAAUCUUAUGAGACCUCUGUUGAGACCCAUGACUGGUUCUUUUCAUUGGGGCUCAGCAGUUACCCAGUAUAUGUUUCUGUCACUAUGAGUGGUCAAAGAAUAGGGAGGGUGUACCAAAGACUGCAAUGGUUUUUUAGACCUCAUACUAGAAAUGAUAAUCCAUCUUCUUCACUCACAUUCAACUGGCCAAAGCAACUCACAUAGACAGUAAGUUAUCAGGACAGGGAAGUAAACUCUACACAUAUGAAAUUAGUUGGGUAGGGAGGGGGAGGCUAGAAAUAAAUGUUGACGAAUAAUUCAAUACAUCAUAAGUCUACAUAUUUUAAUUUUCUUAAAGAGUCACAAAACAUCUGGCUAUGUUCCAGCCAGCCCAUGGGUCAUAGUUUGCCGACUCUCAUAACACAAUGCAGUCUUCCCUAUUGUCACAAUUUUCCAUCCCAGAUGCAAAUCAAUGAUAUCUCAGGUCACAUUCAAUCAGAAUCAAAGUAUAGAAUCUCAUGGAUCACUAUCAAAUCAAAAUGCAGCGUGUGUUCUAAAAAUAAAGUUUGUUCCUGCUUGACAAGUGGCUCGUGAAUUGUGCCCAGCCAGACUGUGGCAGCUUCUGUCUUCUGCUGGGUAAAGGGAAGCACAGAAACAAAGAUUACUAAUCAUUGUGAUAAAUAGAACAGCAGGAAAAUAACCAUUAAGUUGAAUAAUAG
rnacentral:lncRNA from 1 species